rnacentral:rRNA from 1 species
CGCGUAGGCGGCCAAUUAAGUCAAAUGUGAAAUCCCCGAGCUUAACUUGGGAAUUGCAUUCGAUACUGGUUGGCUAGAGUGUGAUUGAGGUAGCUGGAAUGGAUAGUGUAGCGGUGAAAUGCAUAGAUAUUAUCCAGAACACCGAUUGCGAAGGCAGGUUACUAAGUCAUAACUGACGCUGAGGCACGAAAGUGUGGGGAUCAAACAGGAUUAGAUACCCUUGUA